rnacentral:lncRNA from 1 species
UCGGUAAGUAUUUCACUGUAAAAGAAGAUGCUACAUCCUUGUUUAUAUGCACCAACAGUGAUCCAUGAUAAAUCAACUUUAAGGUACCUUCUAUAUUUAAUUGCAAUCCCCAAACAACUUAAAAGGUGAAAACAAGUAAAUUUGUUAGCUGUCGUUAAUGAAGGCUUCGCAUAAAAUACCUUGACCCAUUCUUUACCUCCUCUACCACUUACCUCAAUAUGGAACUAAUCUUUUUACACUCCCAAAGUUAUUCUUAAAGUUGUAAUUGCAGCAACUCCAAACAAUUCUAAUUUGUUUAGAGUUGUUACCUGAACUUGAAGCUCCACAGCAACUAUUCUGUAGUAAAUCACAGUGUGUUCAUAAUCUCAUAUUUGUGGACAAUUAUAUUGUGAAAUGCUUUGAAAUUACAAGAUCAUGGUUGAGAAAUGGAAAUAGAUUGACAGGAGAACAAAAUAAAAUAAAAUCGCAAAUGAACUAUAAAUGUUUGCUCUUUUAGAGUCAUAAUUAUGUCAAGCAAGACUACUGCAAUAAAUUCAGACACCAGGUCUAAUGAAUUCAAAGCGUACUACUCAGAAGCUGCACUGCAGAGUUUUAUCUUGUUUAAAUUACCAGAGGCUCGAAUGCUAUAUAAUCCAAACAUAGAAACAAAUAAUGCUACACAUGAAAAAUCAAGCACAUGUGGCAAAGAUAAAUGAGAAGAAUUGAUUGACAAGACAAUCAUGAAGAAAGCUAGUGGCAGAUGGAUGACUUCCAUGGAUUAAACCAACAUUGGAUUUAAGCAAAAACAGUUAGAAUUGUGUUCCAUUGUUCUUUCACAGUUUCAACAGCAUACACAUUUCGUCUUUACUUCUAAAUUCAUCACAACAAAGUAUGUUUAAAAGGAGAUGGCCAGUUUAAGUACAAUUCUAAAUAUUAUUUUAUCUACUAACACAAAAGUGCACCUCGUCUGAAUAUUUUUUGAAAAAAGAGGAAUGAGACUCAGAGUAGACCAGUAUCCCUAUCAGUUUUUACGAGCAUGUUUUUGCUUAAAUCUUAGUUUCCAAUCUAGAUAAACAAAACCCAAAGAAUAACUUAAAUCUUAGUUUCCAAUCUUUUGGUUAGACAGUUGUCAAGGUCUUGGGAAGGGCCAUGGCUAUAUCCAUCUUUCCCAACCAGAUGGAUAUCCAAGUUUGUUAUGUUUUUCCCAUCUCAUGCGAUUCCACACAAGAAAUAUGAGCAAGCUUGAUGAAUGAAAUAAAGAUUGCAGUUCAGAAGCCUUAAAAUACAAAAAAUGCAAAGGACUCAUAUUAAGGAAGCAAGGAAUAAGUGAUCAUUUAAGGAGAGAAUGAACACCACCACGAAAUUAAAUGUUUGUUCAAGAAGGGAGCAAUAUAUUUGUACAACCAAGUGUAAAGUGGUAGAGAGCCUUGCAAUGUAGUUCACAAUUGAUGGCGAUGUAUUAUAAAUUCUAGUUAACCUCAUUCAACAAAAGAAGUAGGAAGAGACUAUCAAAAGCCUACGUGAGAGUUGAAUAACAAAAGAAGCUGCACAUAUUAUUCAAAUUCCAGAAAAAGUGUUCUGUUACAGUAAAAAGUUCUUCCUAAACCAAAUAUAACCAUUUACUGAUGUAAUAUAAACGAUUAUAUAAUAAUCAGCAGCAUAUGUUACUCCAAAGAAGAUUAAUACAUCAUAUCAUCAAGAAUAAGGCUAGUAGAUUUCUAGUCCACCGUUGAGAAAAGAAGAUGGUAUUCGUGCAUAACAUACCAACAAAUCACAAAAUCCCAGGUAGCACCGUAACUGGCGAGUAAAGAAUGCAGGUGGAGCUCGAAUGAAAGCGAUUUCAGGAACAUUCCAUCAAAGUUUUUAGGGUUUCAGAACCGGAAAAUCGAUUGGGAGCGAGAAGGGGGAAGAAACCCUAUUGAGAACUGAAGAACAAAAAAGAAACCAGAAAAAAAGGGAGAUCAGAUCGGAAAAAAGAAUCUGAUUGAGAAACGGAAAACAGACCAAGCACAAAAAAAUCGAUUGAAUCGAAAAAAAAAUUGGACCAUUUCCCUGAAAUGCAAGCGAAUUCAGGACUAUCCCAUCCGAGAUUUUAGGGUUUGAGAACUGGAACUGGAAAACCGAUUGAAAACGAUAAAGGGUUCAAAAACUCUCUAUCGAGAACAGAAGAACAAAAAAUAAACAAAAAAAAAGGGAGAUCAGAUCAGAAAAAACGAACCUGGUUGAGAACCGGAAACAAAUCAACUACAAAAACCAAAAAAACACAAAAAUCGAUCGAAUCGAAAAAAAAGGGGACCAUUACACUCAAAUGCAAACGAAUUCAGAAACAUUUUAUCCAAGUUUUUAGGGCUUCAGAAUGAAUCAAAGCACUUCGAAUCGUAUAAUCCUUGCGCUAAUAAACCCGACUGACAAUCGAGACGUAACCAGCAAUGUGGGACUAAAAUUUAACGUAGCUCAAUUCCGACCUGAGCCUGUUAUAGAUAGCCGAACUCCAGUUGGAGACGGGCAUGGAAUGGUUUUGGGGUUCGGACCAG